rnacentral:rRNA from 1 species
AGAAUCUUUCACAAUGGGCGCAAGCCUGAUGGAGCGACGCCGCGUGGGGGAUGAAGGGCUUCGGCUCGUACACCCCUGUCAUUUGCGAACAAGGACGCCAACCUAAUACGUUGUCGUUUGAUAGUAGCGAACGAGGAAGGGACGGCUAACUCUGUGCCAGCAGCCGCGGUAAUACAGAGGUCCCAAGCGUUGUUCGGAUUCACUGGGCGUAAAGGGUGCGUAGGUGGUGGACUAAGUCGGGUGUGAAAUCUCCGGGCUCAACCCGGAGCCUGCGCCCGAAACUAGUUCGCUAGAGGAUGGGAGGGGAGACUGGAAUUCUCGGUGUAGCAGUGAAAUGCGUAGAUAUCGAGAGGAACACCGGUGGCGAAGGCGAGUCUCUGGACCAUUCCUGACACUGAGGCACGAAAGCCGGGGGAGCAAAC